GAAUACUUGUGGAUGUAUAGCAAUCCUUGAGCUACACCUUCGGUGAUUUUUACUCGCUGUCCCCAGUCUAGCUUCGCAUUAUCAGAUGACCCUCAACAAACAGCAAAAUCAUUGUGAAAUUUAGAAACUUUUGUUCUUGAUGAUGGCAAAUCAUUAACAUAACAUCAAGACAAAGAUGAGGAAUCAACCAAAGAGAAACUUGUCCAAGC
rnacentral:lncRNA from 1 species